rnacentral:rRNA from 1 species
CGCGUAGGCGGUUUUAUAAGUCAGAUGUGAAAGCCCAUGGCUCAACCAUGGACGUGCAUUUGAAACUGUGAGACUUGAGUAUUGGAGGGGGUGGUGGAAUUCCCGGUGUAGAGGUGAAAUUCGUAGAUAUCGGGAGGAAUACCAGUGGCGAAGGCGACCACCUGGCCAAAUACUGACGCUAAUGUGCGAAAGCGUGGGGAGCAAACA